UACGGGGGGGGCAAGCGUUGUUCGGAAUUACUGGGCGUAAAGGGCUCGUAGGUGGCCAACUAAGUCAGACGUGAAAUCCCUCGGCUUAACCGGGGAACUGCGUCUGAUACUGGAUGGCUUGAGUUUGGGAGAGGGACGCGGAAUUCCAGGUGUAGCGGUGAAAUGCGUAGAUAUCGGGAGGAACAUCAGUGGCGAAGGCGGCUGCCUGGCCCAAUACUGACACUCAGGUGCGACAGCGUGGGGAGCAAACAGG
rnacentral:rRNA from 1 species